rnacentral:rRNA from 1 species
GCAUAUCAAUAAGCGGAGGAAAAGAAACCAACAGGGAUUGCCCUAGUAACGGCGAGUGAAGCGGCAAGAGCUCAAAUUUGAAAUCUGGCCCCUCCGGGGUCCGAGUUGUAAUUUGCAGAGGAUGCUUCGGGUGCGGUCCCCAUCUAAGUGCCCUGGAACGGGCCGUCAUAGAGGGUGAGAAUCCCGUCUGGGAUGGGUGGCCGUGCCCGUGUGAAGCUCCUUCGACGAGUCGAGUUGUUUGGGAAUGCAGCUCUAAAUGGGUGGUAAAUUUCAUCUAAAGCUAAAUAUUGGCCGGAGACCGAUAGCGCACAAGUAGAGUGAUCGAAAGAUGAAAAGCACUUUGAAAAGAGAGUUAAACAGCACGUGAAAUUGUUGAAAGGGGAAGCGCUUGCGACCAGACUCGCCCGCGGGGGUUCAGCCGGUACUCGUACCGGUGUAUUCCCCCGUGGGCGGGCCAGCGUCGGUUUGGGCGGCCGGUCAAAGGCCCCCGGAAUGUGUCGCCUCUCGGGGCGUCUUAUAGCCGGGGGUGCAAUGCGGCCAGCCUGGACCGAGGAACGCGCUUCGGCACGGACGCUGGCGUAAUGGUCGUAAGCGGCCCGUCUUGAAACACGGACCAAGGAGUCUAACAUCUACGCGAGUGUUCGGGUGUCAAACCCGUCCGCGCAGUGAAAGCGAACGGAGGUGGGAACCUUUCGGGGUGCACCAUCGACCGAUCCUGAUGUCUUCGGAUGGAUUUGAGUAAGAGCGUAGCUGUUGGGACCCGAAAGAUGGUGAACUAUGCCUGAAUAGGGCGAAGCCAGAGGAAACUCUGGUGGAGGCUCGCAGCGGUUCUGACGUGCAAAUGCGAUGCGUCAAAUUUGGGUAUAGGGGCGAAAGACUAAUCGAACCAUCUGGUAGCUGGUUCCUGCCGAA